ACUCUGUGUUUUAAAAGGCAGGAACAACUUCCUCUUAACUGCAUACUGCAAGAGGAAGCAGUCUACCUGCACCCUCCCAGUGGGAAGGGCUUAGA